rnacentral:lncRNA from 1 species
UUAACCAAUUAAAUACUGAUGGAAUAAAACCCCCAUCAUCCAAAAGAGGAAAAGGUUCCUUCCUUCUCGUGAGCUUCAGGUAUGAUUUUGAAUUUAGAUCAUGUGAAGAGGCUUCAGGUAUGGUAAUCAAGCAUCACGCAUCACUCAUCUUCAUCUUCACCUAUAAUACAUGAUUUGGGGAAAAAAACGUCCGUCGCCCCUUGAUAAUCAUGGUGGUUGGAAACGACAAUCUUCAGUCAUCUCCACCCACUCGCUCCGUAAACGGCGAUCUUCUGUUCUCUGGUGACAACGCAAUUUGAUUAGGUGUUGCUUUUGAUUACUUGGAAUUAGCUCUUCAGAAGUCUGAAGGUUCAUUCUUCUUCUUGAAGAUCUCAGUUUAGUGAGUAAAGGCAAGAUUGGAAUUUGUCAUCUGAUACCGAUAAAUAAGAAUUAUAUUACAUGCUUCUUAUGAUUAUUGAUGUAUUUUAUAGUACUAACACCCUGGUAUUUGGCUAGAAAAAUUGAACAUUUCUUUUCCCCUUAAUAAAUUCUUGAACCACCAAGUGAGGAGGAGGUUUCUCUAAUUCUGAAAAGUUUUGGACAACUAUAUUUUAACAUGUUUUAUACG